rnacentral:rRNA from 1 species
CCUACGGGGGGCAGCAGUGGGGAAUAUUGGACAAUGGGGGCAACCCUGAUCCAGCCAUGCCGCGUGUGUGAAGAAGGCCCUCGGGUUGUAAAGCACUUUCAGUGAGGAAGAACGCCUGGUGGUUAAUACCCAUCAGGAAAGACAUCACUCACAGAAGAAGCACCGGCUAACUCCGUGCCAGCAGCCGCGGUAAUACGGAGGGUGCGAGCGUUAAUCGGAAUUACUGGGCGUAAAGCGCGCGUAGGUGGCUUGAUAAGCCGGUUGUGAAAGCCCCGGGCUCAACCUGGGAACGGCAUCCGGAACUGUCAAGCUAGAGUGCAGGAGAGGAAGGUAGAAUUCCCGGUGUAGCGGUGAAAUGCGUAGAGAUCGGGAGGAAUACCAGUGGCGAAGGCGGCCUUCUGGACUGACACUGACACUGAGGUGCGAAAGCGUGGGUAGCUAUCAGGAUUAGAUACCCGAGUAGUC